GAUGAACGCUAGCGGCAGGCUUAACACAUGCAAGUCGAGGGGUAUGCUGAUUUAUCGGCAGAGACCGGCGCACGGGUGCGUAACGCGUAUGCAAUCUACCUUUCACAGAGGGAUAGCCCAGAGAAAUUUGGAUUAAUACCUCAUAGUAUAGCAGUUUCGCAUGAAACCACUAUUAAAGUUCCAACGGUGAAAGAUGAGCAUGCGUCCCAUUAGCUAGAUGGUAAGGUAACGGCUUACCAUGGCUACGAUGGGUAGGGGUCCUGAGAGGGAGAUCCCCACACUGGUACUGAGACACGGACCAGACUCUACGGGAGGCAGCAGUGAGGAAUAUUGGUCAAUGGACGGCAAAGUCUGAACCAGCCAUGCCGCGUGCAGGA
rnacentral:rRNA from 1 species